rnacentral:lncRNA from 1 species
GUUGGUGCUGAUGAGAGCUAACAAUAAUUUUGCAUCCACUUAAAAAGCUGAUUUUGCUGACUGAAAAUGUUGAAGUCCCUCACUACAAAACAAAAACUCAAACUUAAACUCACGUUAACUAAGAAAGUUUUGAAAAUAAAUGUCUGCAAUCCCUGAAGUGGUGGGAUGAAGAGGCUGUGAGCUGAGCUGUCAAAAACCAUCGGAGUCCCCCUUUUCAAAACAAAAAUAGUCAUGAAAACCAGUAUCAACACUUUGAAAGAUGCACAAAUAAUAAACCAACAAGGACAGAGGAGAAGACAGGGAACAUAUACAUACACUGGGAAACGAGCAACGGGUGAGGCAGAGGAGACACAGGUGAGACUCAUGGGUGAUUGACAAAGGAGGGAAAACUAGGGAAGUAAAACCAAAAUAGAAACACAAGGAAUCAACUCUUAGAAAAUAAAACAGGAAAUAAACUCUAAAAACUGAUCUAAAGAAUAAAACACUGAGAACAGGAGGGAAACAGGGUCAAAGACAAACUGAAAACUCUCAAGACUGGACUACAGGGGAACAGGAACAAGAGGGGAAAAUACACAAAAUGAACUCAAAUAAAACCAGAAGAAAACUAAAUAAACUGAACAUAUCAUGACAGUAAUGUGUUGGUCAGCAUAAAACCGCGUGUCACAUGAUUAAGGUGGUGCUGCAGAGAUCUGUGAGAGUCAUAUCUGUGAUUUUUCAUGUUUAGGAGCAGAAACCAGAGAGCAGAAGGUGAUUCAUGAGUUUAACUGUCUUCAGCAGGUGUGUCAUCUCUCUGAAAAAUAGAGAAGGAUUUGUGUUUGUCUUCACUUGUCCAGUCCCAGGUGUCUUUGUCCACUAGAUGUCGCUGUUUCACUCGUGAUUAUAUUUCUCUCUGUGUUGUUUCUUGUGUUUAAUGACAGUCAGGGAGUAUAAAGUGCACCAUGAGACCUCUCUAAUCCCUCUGAGAAGGUUUUCUUGUGUCUGUCAAUGUUUGACUGCAGGUGUUCAGGUGGUUGAGUCCAAAGUCGAGAGCUGCGCUGUGAUCACAUUUCCUUCCAGAAGACUUCAGUGUGAAGAUGAACUCGGAGAGUCUGGACUGGAUGUGAAUGGUGGGACCUUUGAAAACCUCCUGCUGUCACUUCCAUCUUUCUUCUCUCUCUGCUUGGUUUCCUGUUUGAAGCUGCUGAUUCGUCUCACCGUCACUCGUGGUCUUCAUGCAGAUUAUUUUCCCCAUCAGAAGGUAACCUAACACACUCUUUUCAUCAUGUUUGAGUGAGCGUCUGUUAAACUGAUCUGAGGACAGCACAUGUGAAGCUUCUGCAGAUCUGACAUGUCGUUUUGUGACUGCAUUGGUGGAACAGAGGCGAACACAGAGGAAAGGAGAAAAUCUCUGUUUAAAGACUGAUGUACAUGUAGGAGCAGAACUAAGUCAAGACUAUGGACCUCAGACUUCUACCAACAAACACAAUCACAGGGAUCAGAUUGAAUACAGGAGUGCUGAUGUAUUGCUGUAUUUGCUCGGUGAAAACAGAAGAAACAGGAACAGGUUCAAGUCAGACUGAACAAAACUUGAGUUAAACUUUUAAACACUUUGUUUUAGUGUUUGUAAAAGUCUUUGUGUGCUGAGCACUUUGAUGAGUUUAUGAGUUUAUGAUGGUAUCAAAGGUCAGUCAUUGGCUCUCUUUAAAGCUGAGCACAGUCAACAACCAGUGUGAUAAACUUCAGUCAGUGUCCACUCUACAGCAGCAACAGUUUGAACUCCUUCACAGGAGCAAUGGUUAGUGAGGAGCUGCUCAGAAAGAAGGUGAAAAAAAAGCUCCAAGAAAAGCUCUCUCAAUGUUUCUCAAGCUCUCAGUAUUUUUAUCUGUUUUGGUUUUCAUGGUUUCCCUCAUACACACAGACUCUGAAUAUAUCGGCACAGAAUUGUCUUCAACUCAAAAACUCAGUCAGCAGAGCAGCGUUGGUGCCUAAUCAUCUGAUAUCCAACCAUCAUCCAUAAACUGAGGACUCACAUUUGAUUGUCCUCAGUCCUUUGAAAUCAAAAAGUCCUUUGAUCAAAAACCUUUGACAGCCCUGUUUCCUCCAAUUACUCACCAUCUCUGAGGUGAAAACCAAUAAUUAAUCCUCACUCAGAUAUGGAAAAAUGAAUCCACACACUCAUCCUCUCCAGAACAGACUCACUCUUUGACGGCAUCGACCAUUAAACACUUUUCCCCUGUCUGAGUCCUUGAAAAAGCAGCAGCUGGGCUUCUCACUGGUUUGAACAGACAACAUCCCAUCACCUCCAUCCCAGCUUCCUUUGUUUGAGGAUUGACUUGAAGAUUCAAAGCUCUUCUGGGUCUGGCUCAUAGAUCUGAAAUGUUGACCCCCCCAUGAGGCCAGCCUGCAGUCUGAGACCCUUAGGCCCAUAUGGCUGUUCCAAAGAGACUGAAUACUUAGGGAAUCAUGUUUUUCCAUCAGGGCUCCUCCACUCUGAAAGGACCUGUCUGAGGAGAUCAGGUUUACAGAAUCAGUGUUAUCUUUAAAACCACUUCUUCAAAUCGAUUCUCUAGACUUGUUUUUUGGUGAAAUCCUCCUUUAAUUGGCCUUUUUUACUCUGACUUUUUCCAUCCAUCCAUCCAUCCAUCCAUCUUCCACCGCUAAUUUGGGAUCAGGUUGCAGGACCGGAAGCAGCCUGAACAGAGAAGCCUGGACUUCCCUCUCCCCAGCCACCUGCAAGGCGUGCGGGAUGCAUCCUGAUUAGAUGCCAAAGCCACCUCAUCUGACUCCUCUCAGUGCGGAGGAGCAGCGGCUCUACUCCAAUGACCGAGCUUCUCACCCUUUCUCUAAGGGAGAGCCCAGCCACCCUGCAGAGGAAACUAAUUUCAGUUGUUCGUACUUGCGAUCUUCACCUUCGGUCACUAACCCACAGCUCGUGACCGAAGCUGAGUGUAGAAACGUAGAUCAACCGGUAUAUCCAGAGCUUUGCCUUUCGGCUCAGCUCCCACUUUACCAUGACAGAUCUGUGCAGCAUCCGCAUCGCUGUUGACAUGACACCGAUCUGUCUGUUUAUCUCCCGCUCCAUUCUUCCCUCAUAUGUGAACAAGACCCCGAGAUAUCUGAACUUCUCCACUUAAGGCAGGAUCUCAUCUCCAACCCUGAGAAGGCACUCCACCUUUUUCCGGCUGAGAACUGUGGACUCAGAUUUGGAGGUGCUGAUUCUCAUCCCAGCCGCUUCACACUCAGCUGCGAACCAAUCCAGAGAGAGCUGAAGGUCACGGCCUCUUUUAUUUCUCUUUAUUCUUCUACAGGUUUGAGGUCUCUCAGUUUCUACAUUUGCCGUCACCAACUUCUUUCUUCUUGUUGCUCUGCUUUUCUUUGACGACUUCUUGGCUUGUAUUAUUGAAUUUCAAUGCACUCAUUCCUUUGAUGGCUUUGUCUCUUUAUUUAUGCAGUUGUUAUUUAUGGAGCUUGAACCUCUUUGCUGUGUUUUAAUCAUCUUUGUUAGACUUUCAGGCCUGAACAUGUUUCAUUGUUUUGAACUCUUUUAGUCACAGUCAUGUUGUUCGCUUCUCGUGUUGCUUCGGUUCUUAUGAUGUCGGGUCCAUAUGUUGCUCGGCUUUUCCUGGUUCUGUGGGUUCUCCGUCUUUGGGGUCCUUGUGCUGAAAACGUGCAUGAAUAUAAUGAAUAUGAAAAUAUGAAAUAAAUCACUGUUAUUAAUCAGACAAUAAUCUGUUUCUGGAGUCAUGGAGGAUAUUUAUUACAGCAUGUCCAGAUUAUUUCUUUGCUCCUGUUUCACUCGCUCUCUCGUUUCCUCUUAUUUAGUCUCUCUGAUUUGAGUUGUUGUUAAUGAGUAACAUCAAGGUUGAAUUCAUUCAACAAUUAAUCAUUCAAAACAUCAUCUUUACAAUCCUGAUCAAUCUAAUUAGAGGGUUAAACUCCAGACCAGAUAACACCAGAUAUGAAACGUCCAUAUCACUAAAAACCUGAUUUAUGAAAUACAAUCAGACCCUGCAGAGAUGCUACGACAUGAAUAUACAGAUUAUUUCUAUCAAUCAUGCUCCAGCUUCUGUUUUUCAUAGAACACUGAAAUACAGAAGCACAUCAGCAAACUCAAUCCAACACUGAACUUUGAGGAGUUUCAGAAAAACUGAUGUUUCAAACAAACGCUCCAAUUUCAACAAAGACUUCAGCUUUGUCUGCUGCUUUUAAAAUGACCAUCAUCCAUCAGCUGAGCUCUGAUUGGCAGCUUUCAUGUGGUACUAAACCCAUUCUCUGUCUUUGAAAGGUUUCUGAUCGUAAACAUGAGCAGAGUAUUGACCUUUUCCUUUAAACCUGAUCGAUCAAUAACAACAGAGGACCAUGAUGUCUGUCUUUUCUGAGAGCUUUCCUUUGCUGUCUGAUCUCCUCUGGAAUAAAAAGGAGAGAACUGCUCAGGA